rnacentral:rRNA from 1 species
CAGUCGCCGCGGUAAAACGUAGGGUGCAAGCGUUAAUCGGAAUUACUGGGCGUAAAGCGUGCGCAGGCGGUUUGUUAAGACAGAUGUGAAAUCCCCGGGCUCAACCUGGGAACUGCAUUUGUGACUGGCAAGCUAGAGUGUGGCAGAGGGGGGUGGAACUCCGCGUGUAGCAGUGAAAUGCGUAGAUAUGCGGAGGAACACCGAUGGCGAAGGCAGCCCCCUGGGCCAACACUGACGCUCAUGCAUGAAAGCGUGGGGAGCAAACAGGAUUAGAGACCCGUGUAGUCCCUGUCUCUUAUAC